rnacentral:rRNA from 1 species
UGGAUCCAGACUUUGAUCAUGGCUCAGGAUGAACGCCGGCGGUGUGCCUAAUACAUGCAAGUCGUACGCACUGGCCCAACUGAUUGGUGGUGCUUGCACCGGAUUGACGAUGGAUCACCAGUGAGUGGCGGACGGGUGAGUAACACGUAGGUAACCUGCCCCGGAGCGGGGGAUAACAUUUGGAAACAGAUGCUAAUACCGCAUAACAACAAAAGCCACAUGGCUUUUGUUUGAAAGAUGGCUUUGGCUAUCACUCUGGGAUGGACCUGCGGUGCAUUAGCUAGUUGGUAAGGUAACGGCUUACCAAGGCGAUGAUGCAUAGCCGAGUUGAGAGACUGAUCGGCCACAAUGGAACUGAGACACGGUCCAUACUCCUACGGGAGGCAGCAGUAGGGAAUCUUCCACAAUGGGCGCAAGCCUGAUGGAGCAACACCGCGUGAGUGAAGAAGGGUUUCGGCUCGUAAAGCUCUGUUGUUGGAGAAGAACGUGCGUGAGAGUAACUGUUCACGCAGUGACGGUAUCCAACCAGAAAGUCACGGCUAACUACGUGCCAGCAGCCGCGGUAAUACGUAGGUGGCAAGCGUUAUCCGGAUUUAUUGGGCGUAAAGCGAGCGCAGGCGGUUGCUUAGGUCUGAUGUGAAAGCCUUCGGCUUAACCGAAGAAGUGCAUCGGAAACCGGGCGACUUGAGUGCAGAAGAGGACAAUGGAACUCCAUGUGUAGCGGUGGAAUGCGUAGAUAUAUGGAAGAACACCAGUGGCGAAGGCGGCUGUCUGGUCUGCAACUGACGCUGAGGAUCGAAAGCAUGGGUAGCGAACAGGAUUAGAUACCCUGGUAGUCCAUGCCGUAAACGAUGAGUGCUAGGUGUUGGAGGGUUUCCGCCCUUCAGUGCCGGAGCUAACGCAUUAAGCACUCCGCCUGGGGAGUACGACCGCAAGGUUGCAACUCAAAUGAAUUGACGGA